AGUGAACGCUGGCGGCGUGCUUAACACAUGCAAGUCGAACGAGAACGGAAUAUAGCUUGCUAUAUUUGUCAGCUAAGUGGCGCACGGGUGAGUAAUGUAUAGAUAACCCGCCCUUAAGAAAGGAAUAACAGUUGGAAACGACUGCUAAUGCCCUAUAUGCCUUUAAUACAUAAGUAUGCAAGGGAAACGCUUUAGUGCUUAAGGAUGGGUCUGUAUGGUAUCAGCUUGUUGGUGAGGUAAUGGCUCACCAAGGCUAUGACGCCUAACUGGUUUGAGAGGAUGAUCAGUCACACUGGAACUGAGACACGGUCCAGACUCCUACGGGAGGCAGCAGUGGGGAAUAUUGCACAAUGGACGAAAGUCUGAUGCAGCAACGCCGCGUGGAGGAUGACACAUUUCGGUGCGUAAACUCCUUUUAUAUAGGAAGAUAAUGACGGUACUAUAUGAAUAAGGAUCGGCAAACUCCGUGCCAGCCGCCGCGGUAA
rnacentral:rRNA from 1 species